GAUGAACGCUAGCUACAGGCUUAACACAUGCGAGUCGAGGGGUAACGAGAGGAAAGCUUGCUUUCCUUGUCGACGACCGGCGCACGGGUGAGUAACGCGAAUCCAACCUGCCCCCAACUAGGGAAUAACCUUGCGAAAGUAAGACUAAUACCCUAUAAUUUCCUCAGAUGUCAUCUGACGAGGAAUAAAGAUUUAUCGGUUGUGGAUGGUGAUGCGUCUGAUUAGCUUGGUGGCGGGGUAACGGCCCACCAAGUCAACGAUCAGUAGGGGUUCUGAGAGGAAGGUCCCCCACAUUGGAACUGAGACACGGUCCAAACUCCUACGGGAGGCAGCAGUGAGGAAUAUUGGUCAAUGGGCGGAAGCCUGAACCAGCCAAGUAGCGUGCAGGAUGACGGCCCUAUGGGUUGUAAACUGCUUUUAUACAGGAAUAAAGUUAGCCACGUGUGGUUAUUCGUAGGUACUGUAUGAAUAAGGACCGGCUAAUUCCGUGCCAGCCGCCGCAGUAA
rnacentral:rRNA from 1 species